CGUUCCCGGGUCUUGUACACACCGCCCGUCACACCAUGGGAGUCGGAAAUGCCCGAAGUCUGUGACCCAACCUCAGGGAGGGAGCAGCCGAAGGCAGGUCGGAUGACUGGGGUGAAGUCGUAACAAGGUAUC
rnacentral:rRNA from 1 species